CAUAAUAAAGAAUUUUCAUUUUAUUUUAAAGGUAUACUUGCAAAUACUGUGUCAUUUAAACAGCUGUGAGACUGGCAACGUUGACUCAGACUCUUUCGUAAAGACUGAAAAAGGAAAGUGAAGUCAUGUGCAGCCGGUCCUUUUAGGAACAUCCACCCCAAUUCCGGAGCUCCUAGAAGCCACACCAGAAUCUGUUGUAGCUUCUGGGAAGAUCUUCUAAGAAUGAAGAGGAGGGUCCCCAGAUCAAGUGCUUGGUCACAGGUGGUUGUAAACGUCACAGCAUGGUGCUAGGAACGGAACUCUGGUCCUCUGCAAAAGCUGCAAGCGCUCUUAACUGCUGAGUCAUGUCUCCAGCCUGCCACUGGUUCUUAGUAGUAACAAAGUGGAAACUAGCUACAUACUCAUCAAUGGCGGAAAGGAUAAGUAAAUUUUGGUGUUAGUAAAACCACGAAACACUGCCCACUAAUGAGAAAGAAUGGCAUAUAACAAUAUGCUAUAAUAUGGGUUAACCCACAUAAUACUGAGCAAAGACCAAAACAAUCUAAAGACAGAAAUAGGACACACUGAAUGUUUUCACAUACGGAGAAGUAAAAAGCAGAAGAGUCCAAAAUGCAUUAAAGUGCAGGUAAUGCUUAUCCUGGUGGGCAGCAGAGGUACAAACUGCAGAAAGCAUGAAGGAUGAUUCUUAAUGUUGCCUUCCUGGAUAUGGUGCUUGUUAGAUAGCCAGCACUUUACAGCUAUGUAUCAAGUUUAUGAUACGUGUUCUUGGCUUGCAUAUGAUAUUCCAAUAAAAUAUCUAGAAAUAUUAUUUCCUACCUUCCUGAUCACUUGGUGAAAAUAAAAUCUCAGUGUGGGUCUGGCUGGCCCUUAGCACAUCACAUACUGGCUUACCCAAAGGAGCAAUGUUCCAGGAUUGGAGGCUUCAGCAAGUAACAGUAUCCAGCCAGGAUUGUUUUUAUUGUGUUUAUUUUUAUGGUUACCAUCUGUAUAUGGCUAUCCUUAUUGGGUUUCCAUUUAUGGUAAUGAUAUAGAGUUUCCCCAUUUUAAAUAGCCUCAAGUUAAGAAAAAGCAAAUUAAGUUACAUUAAAAAUUAUGUAAGUAAUAGUAUAGAUGGUACUUAGUCACGGUAAACCAUGAGAGGGUGGAGUUUGUACAACAUUGUUUGAUGGAAAGAAAGCAGGGAUUAGCAGGGAGAAAGCCAGUCUCAGCUUGUUUCUAUCUCUUAGCCAGUCCACACUGCCCAACAAAGAGAAGCUAUCAAGCUGAAGAACUUGUCGUCUAUAGAGGCUUUGCAAGAAAUUCAAAGUAAGAACUAUUCAGGAACAAUGAUGAAAGCAAGCGUCCAGGAGUCUCUAGACUUUAGGCUCACUCAAUAAAU